rnacentral:rRNA from 1 species
AGUGAACGCUGGCGGUAGGCCUAACACAUGCAAGUCGAACGGCAGCACAGUAAGAGCUUGCUCUUACGGGUGGCGAGUGGCGGACGGGUGAGGAAUACAUCGGAAUCUACUUUUUCGUGGGGGAUAACGUAGGGAAACUUACGCUAAUACCGCAUACGACCUACGGGUGAAAGCAGGGGAUCUUCGGACCUUGCGCGAUUGAAUGAGCCGAUGUCGGAUUAGCUAGUUGGCGGGGUAAAGGCCCACCCAGGCGACGAUCCGUAGCUGGUCUGAGAGGAUGAUCAGCCACACUGGAACUGAGACACGGUCCAGACUCCUACGGGAGGCAGCAGUGGGGAAUAUUGGACAAUGGGCGCAAGCCUGAUCCAGCCAUACCGCGUGGGUGAAGAAGGCCUUCGGGUUGUAAAGCCCUUUUGUUGGGAAAGAAAAGCAGCAGGUUAAUACCACGCUGUUCUGACGGUACCCAAAGAAUAAGCACCGGCUAACUUCGUG